AACGCAUAUUGCGCCUUUUGGUAUUCCGAAAGGCAUAUCUGUUCGAGCGACGUUUAAUAAUUCAAGCUUUGAAGCUUGGUGUUGAUUGAGUUUCCAUGGAAACCUUUCGAAAUUCUUCGACGAUUUUUUGAUCAGAUGAAUAGCGCGAAUUGUUGCUAUAAAACCUGAUUUAAAACCUGUCAGUCUUAAUCUUUUGGAUGUCCUCGGAUCAGAUAAGGUUACCCGCUGAACUUAA
rnacentral:misc_RNA from 1 species